AACGCACCUUGCGCUCCAUGGUAUUCCGUGGAGCAUGUCUGUCUGAGUGUCAUGAACCUCUCAAUCCAUCCUCCCUUUGUUGGGGGUGUUUGGCAUUGGAUCGUGAGUGCCUGCUGGACCUUGAGUCAGCUCACUCUAAAUAAAUCAGUGGUCGUACCUGGGAAGGUCAUGCCUGGCGUAAUAGUCUUGUUCGCUAGGUGCCACCGCAAGGUGGGCCUUUCCCCGAUGGGACGAUUGCUCAUAGCCCCUAACGUCUAAGUGUUAGACCUCAGAUCAGGCAGGACUACCCGCUGAACUUAA
rnacentral:misc_RNA from 1 species